GACGAACGCUGGCGGCGCGCCUAACACAUGCAAGUCGAACGAGCGAGAGAGAGCUUGCUUUCUCGAGCGAGUGGCGAACGGGUGAGUAACGCGUGAGGAACCUGCCUCAAAGAGGGGGACAACAGUUGGAAACGACUGCUAAUACCGCAUAAGCCCACGGCUCGGCAUCGAGCAGAGGGAAAAGGAGCAAUCCGCUUUGAGAUGGCCUCGCGUCCGAUUAGCUAGUUGGUGAGGUAACGGCCCACCAAGGCGACGAUCGGUAGCCGGACUGAGAGGUUGAACGGCCACAUUGGGACUGAGACACGGCCCAGACUCCUACGGGAGGCAGCAGUGGGGAAUAUUGCACAAUGGGGGAAACCCUGAUGCAGCGACGCCGCGUGGAGGAAGAAGGUCUUCGGAUUGUAAACUCCUGUUGUUGGGGAAGAUAAUGACGGUACCCAACAAGGAAGUGACGGCUAACUACGUGCCAGCAGCCGCGGUAAAACGUAGGUCACAAGCGUUGUCCGGAAUUACUGGGUGUAAAGGGAGCGCAGGCGGGAAGACAAGUUGGAAGUGAAAUCUAUGGGCUCAACCCAUAAACUGCUUUCAAAACUGUUUUUCUUGAGUAGUGCAGAGGUAGGCGGAAUUCCCGGUGUAGCGGUGGAAUGCGUAGAUAUCGGGAGGAACACCAGUGGCGAAGGCGGCCUACUGGGCACCAACUGACGCUGAGGCUCGAAAGUGUGGGUAGCAAACAGGAUUAGAUACCCUGGUAGUCCACACCGUAAACGAUGAUUACUAGGUGUUGGAGGAUUGACCCCUUCAGUGCCGCAGUUAACACAAUAAGUAAUCCACCUGGGGAGUACGACCGCAAGGUUGAAACUCAAAGGAAUUGACGGGGGCCCGCACAAGCAGUGGAGUAUGUGGUUUAAUUCGACGCAACGCGAAGAACCUUACCAAGUCUUGACAUCCCUUGACGAUACUGGAAACAGUAUUUCUCUUCGGAGCAAGGAGACAGGUGGUGCAUGGUUGUCGUCAGCUCGUGUCGUGAGAUGUUGGGUUAAGUCCCGCAACGAGCGCAACCCUUAUGGUCAGUUACUACGCAAGAGGACUCUGGCCAGACUGCCGUUGACAAAACGGAGGAAGGUGGGGAGGACGUCAAAUCAUCAUGCCCCCUAUGACUUGGGGUACACACGUACUACAAUGGCGUUAAACAAAGAGAAGCAAGACCGCGAGGUGGAGCAAAACUCAGAAACAACGUCCCAGUUCGGACUGCAGGCUGCAACUCGCCUGCACGAAGUCGGAAUUGCUAGUAAUCGUGGAUCAGCAUGCCACGGUGAAUAAAAGGCCGGGCCUUGCACU
rnacentral:rRNA from 1 species